rnacentral:rRNA from 1 species
AACGAACGCUGGCGGCAGGCUUAACACAUGCAAGUCGAGCGCCCCGCAAGGGGAGCGGCAGACGGGUGAGUAACGCGUGGGAAUCUACCCAUCUCUACGGAAUAACGCAUAGAAACGUGUGCUAAUACCGUAUACGUCCUUCGGGAGAAAGAUUUAUCGGAGAUGGAUGAGCCCGCGUUGGAUUAGCUAGUUGGUGGGGUAAAGGCCUACCAAGGCGACGAUCCAUAGCUGGUCUGAGAGGAUGAUCAGCCACACUGGGACUGAGACACGGCCCAGACUCCUACGGGAGGCAGCAGUGGGGAAUAUUGGACAAUGGGCGCAAGCCUGAUCCAGCCAUGCCGCGUGAGUGAUGAAGGCCCUAGGGUUGUAAAGCUCUUUCACCGGUGAAGAUAAUGACGGUAACCGGAGAAGAAGCCCCGGCCAACUUCGUGCCAGCCGCCGCCGUAAGAC